GAUGAACGCUGGCGGCGUGCCUAAUACAUGCAAGUCGAGCGAACAGACGAGGAGCUUGCUCCUCUGACGUUAGCGGCGGACGGGUGAGUAACACGUGGAUAACCUACCUAUAAGUCUGGGAUAACUUCGGGAAACCGAGCUAAUACCGGAUAAUAUAUUGAACCGCAUGGUUCAAUAGUGAAAGACGGUUUUGCUGUCACUUAUAGAUGGAUCCGCGCCGCAUUAGCUAGUUGGUAAGGUAACGGCUUACCAAGGCGACGAUGCGUAGCCGACCUGAGAGGGUGAUCGGCCACACUGGAACUGAGACACGGUCCAGACUCCUACGGGAGGCAGCAGUAGGGAAUCUUCCGCAAUGGGCGAAAGCCUGACGGAGCAACGCCGCGUGAGUGAUGAAGGUCUUCGGAUCGUAAAACUCUGUUAUUAGGGAAGAACAAAUGUGUAAGUAACUAUGCACGUCUUGACGGUACCUAAUCAGAAAGCCACGGCUAACUACGUG
rnacentral:rRNA from 1 species